rnacentral:piRNA from 1 species
UCUGAGUUUGAUGCUGCUUUG